rnacentral:rRNA from 1 species
ACGGGCAACAGCCCCAGGGAAACCGAGUCUUAAUAGGGCGAAUUAUAGUCGUAGGUGGUAGACGCGAAACUGCGUGAUCUACCCAUGGACAGGUUGAAGCGCGGGUUAAACCGCGUGGAGGACCGAACCCACUUAGGUUGAAAACUGAGGGGAUGAUCUGUGGGGAGGAGUGAAAGUCUAAUCAAACGCAGAGAUAGCUCGUUCUCUCCGAAAUAUCUUUAGGGAUAGCCUUGAGCCACUACGCAUCGGGGGUAGAGAGACUGAAUCGGAUGGGGGCCCUUUCCGGGGUACCCCACUGAACCAAACUCCGAAUACCGAUGCGAUUAUCUCAGGAGUCAGUCCGUGGGGGAUAAGCCUCGCGGUCGAGAGGGAAACAACCCAGACCAUCUGCUAAGGUCCCUAAGAAAUGCUCAGUCACUAAGGAAGUUGAGUUACUGUGACAGCCAGGAUGUUGGCUUAGAAGCAGCCACCAUUUAAAAAGUGCGUAACAGCUUACUGGUCGAUGUAACUCUGCGCCGAUAAUGAACGGGAGUAAGCAUUUCACCGAAGCAGUGGAUUGUAGACGUCUGCGGACGUCUACAGUGGUAGGAGAGCGCUGUACACCAGAUACAAGCCGUACCGAAAGGAGCGGUGUCGGGGUGUACAGGUGAUUAUGCCGGAAUGAGUAACGAUAAAACAGGUGAGAAUCCUGUUCGCCGAAAGCCUAAGGUUUCCUGGGGAAGGCAAUUCCGCCCAGGGUUAGCCGGUUCCUAAGUCAAGGCCGAAAGGCGUAGACGAUGGAUAGCAGGUCAACAUUCCUGCGCCACAAGUGUGGACCGAUGGAGGGACGGCAUCCAGAUGGUGUAAAGCACGAUUAGAUUGUGCAUCGAAAGCUUUGAGGUGAGAGAUAGGAAAAUCCGUCUCUCGUAAGCCAAGAAGCCGAAGGGGGGAUUAUUCCCGAAUUCAUCUGAAGGAUGUCCAAGAAAAGCUUCUAAGGGUUGAUGCACUUGUGACCGUACUAAAACUGACACAGGUAGGCGAGACGAGUAGUCUAAGGCGCUCGGGAGAACGGUGGUUAAGGAACUCUGCAAAAUGGCCCCGUAAGUUCGCGAUAAGGGGUGCCUCUGGGGGUUCACGCUUCUGGAGGCCACAGAAAAUCGGCUUCUGCGACUGUUUAUCAAAAACACAGGACUCUGCUAACUCGCAAGAGGAUGUAUAGAGUCUGACGCCUGCCCGGUGCCGGUAGGUUAAGGAAGGCGGUUAGCACUUCGGUGUGAAGCUGACGACCGAAGCCCCGGUAAACGGCGGCCGUAACUAUGACGGUCCUAAGGUAGCGAAGUUCCUUGUCGGGUAAGUUCCGACCUGCAUGAAAGGCGUAACGACA